rnacentral:rRNA from 1 species
GGGAACGUGCCUUUAGGUUCGGAAUAACUCAGGGAAACUUGUGCUAAUACCGAAUGUGCCCUUCGGGGGAAAGAUUUAUCGCCUUUAGAGCGGCCCGCGUCUGAUUAGCUUGUUGGUGGGGUAAUGGCCCACCAAGGCGACGAUCAGUAGCUGGUCUGAGAGGAUGACCAGCCACAUUGGGACUGAGACACGGCCCAAACUCCUACGGGAGGCAGCAGUGGGGAAUCUUGCGCAAUGGGCGAAAGCCUGACGCAGCCAUGCCGCGUGGAUGAUGAAGGUCUUAGGAUUGUAAAAUCCUUUCACCGGUGAAGAUAAAGACUGUAGCCGGAGAAGAAGCCCCGGCUAACCUCGUGCCAGCAGCCGCGGUAAUACGAAGGGGGCUAGCGUUGCUCGGAAUUACUGGGCGUAAAGGGAGCGUAGGCGGACAUUUAAGUCAGGGGUGAAAUCCCAGAGCUCAACUCUGGAACUGCCUUUGAUACUGGGUGUCUUGAGUGUGAGAGAGGUAAGUGGAGCUCCGAGUGUAGAGGUGAAAUUCGUAGAUAUUCGGAAGAACACCAGUGGCGAAGGCGACUUACUGGCUCAUUACUGACGCUGAGGCUCGAAAGCGUGGGGAGCAAACA